rnacentral:rRNA from 1 species
ACGCAGCGAAAGCUGCGCUAAUACCGCAUACGAUCUAUGGAUGAAAGCGGGGGACCGUAAGGCCUCGCGCGAUUGGAGCGGCCGAUGUCAGAUUAGGUAGUUGGUGGGGUAAAGGCUCACCAAGCCAACGAUCUGUAGCUGGUCUGAGAGGACGACCAGCCACACUGGAACUGAGACACGGUCCAGACUCCUACGGGAGGCAGCAGUGGGGAAUCUUGGACAAUGGGCGCAAGCCUGAUCCAGCAAUGCCGCGUGCAGGAAGAAGGCCUUCGGGUUGUAAACUGCUUUUGUACGGAACGAAACGGUCUGAGUUAAUACCUCGGGCUAAUGACGGCACCGUAAGAAUAAGCACCGGCUAACUACGUGCCAGCAGCCGCGGUAAUACGUAGGGUGCAAGCGUUAAUCGGAAUUACUGGGCGUAAAGCGUGCGCAGGCGGUGAUGUAAGACAGUCGUGAAAUCCCCGGGCUCAACCUGGGAAUUGCGAUUGUGACUGCAUCGCUGGAGUGCGGCAGAGGGGGAUGGAAUUCCGCGUGUAGCAGUGAAAUGCGUAGAUAUGCGGAGGAACACCGAUGGCGAAGGCAAUCCCCUGGGCCUGCACUGACGCUCAUGCACGAAAGCGUGGGGAGCAAACAGGAUUAGAUACCCUGGUAGUCCACGCCCUAAACGAUGUCAACUGGUUGUUGGGUCUCU